CAGCCAACCGCGGCGCUCCGGGGGCAGGAGCGCAGCUGGGCGCAGCUGGGCACGGAAGCGUGGGGCGGCCGCGAGUCCCAGCUCGUCGCGGUUCGCCCCGGGCGGGGGCCUCGGUUCCUGCCCCCACGGAAAUGCCGCCCGUGGCACCGCCCAUCUCUCGCUCUGUUUGCCGGCCUGUGCAAUGGGUCGAGGCCGUGCGCCACCGGACCCAGAAAAGGGCGUUUCUUCAGCACGCACUGUGAAGCGCCUCCUGCGUGCAGGGAGCGCGAGUGGAGGGCGCCGGCCCGGGGCUAGAAAGCCAGCACUUGGUGGACACUUUGAACCGUACUCCUGGGCUGAGGCCCAUUCCCACUGGGCUAGCUUCUCGAGCCCUACCUCGUGCGGAGGUCAGGAGGACCCUGCGUACACCUACUGUGUGCCAGCUGCUGUUGAGCGUCCCGGGGAGGAGAAACGUCGAGCCCGAUCCCCAGGACCUCUUGUUCUCCCGAGGGAGAAGACAGUGAACUGAGGAGAAUGACCCUAAGCGUCACUAUAAGAUUUGGGUCUCUCUGGCUCCACGCAAGGAAUGGACCCAGCGACCGUGCAGAGGCAGGACACCAGGGACAGGUGCUGAAAUAGCCCAGGGUCCCAGCCUUGACCUCCGCGAACCCAUUCGAUCAUCACAACAUCGCAGAAAGAUGGGAACUGUUAUCACAUCUAUUCAUGGUUGGGGAAACUGAGGCCCAUCGAGGUGAAAUCACUUGCCUGGGAUCACACAGGAGGCAAGCUGCAAAGGCAGGAUUUGACCCCAGGCAGUCAAGUCCAAGGCUCGUGCUUUUAACCACUCUACUGUCUCAUGAGGAGCUCACCACUGACGGUACACAGACCCUCUCAACCACCUGCUGAGGUGCGAACUAAGAUCAUGCUCCCUUAAGAGGAAGUCCUCCCUGUUUCUGCAGGCCCCCAGUUGCUGUUGUUUGUUUAUGGGUGUGUCUGUCUCACUGGAACGUCAGCUCCUUGAGGGCAGGGACUCCGUCUUCCUUGCUCACCCAGCACAGCACCUGACACUUUGGCUGAAUCAAGUAUUAAGCCAGCUUCUCGUGUGUCACCCGGAAGAAGCACUCCUCACUGUCUGCACUUCAUUGUGUGGCCACUGGAUUCAGGGUCUGUGUCCCCUCUGGUCCCAAGAAGGCAAGGCCUGUGGCUGCUCUGCUCACCCUUGAUUCCCCAGUGCCUGGAACGGUGCUUGGAACUGACAGACAAACCUGAGGCUCAGAGAGGCAGCCGCUGACCCCAAGUCCCACAGCCAGGAGGAGGAAGAGCCAAGGUUCAAGUCAAGAUGUGUUUGGUUCCAGAACCAAGCUUGGCCUCACCGGGCCAGCGCUCCCCAGGUGAUUCUGAUAUGCGGCCAGGUGGAGAACCCCUGAGCGGGGCAGUGAGUUCUGGGAAGAGUGUGCUGGCUUUGGGGCCAGCCGACGCCUGCACCGCCUUACGGCCUGCCUCCUCCUCAUCUCUGACACGGAGGGGGUAGCACUCCCUGCCCCGCCCCCCGGGUUUCAGGAGGGGGGAAUGAGCUGAGCAGCGUGCCCACCAGGGGGCAAGCUCUGGGGACACGUCCUGCAAACCCCACAGGUACCAGCAGCGGCCACGCUGUUAGUCCCCGGACUGAGGGCCGGGGGCCACCCUGCUCCUUCUCCCAGCUCCCGGGGGGAGAGACAAGUCCCCGGCUUCCUAGCACAGAGCUUGAGGUGCGCUGCAGAAGACCCCUCGGGGACAGUCGGAGGCCACAGCGUGCGGGUGCAGAGCGGGGGUGCUGUGGCAAAGUCCUGCCCAGAAACCCGUCCCGCACAAACACGCGUGUCCACAGGUAUGCGGCACAGCUGACCCCUGCCGUGCAGCUCACGACAGCGAAAGCCAGGAAACAAGCCCGAUAACGCUAACAGCUGAUGUGUGUUUACAGCAGGAUUUCUCAACUCAGAACUAUUGACACCGGGACCGGAUCACUCUUUGCAGCGGGAGUCUGACCCGCGCAUUGUAGACUGUUAGCAUCCCUGGGAUCGGUAGCACAGCCCCCCGUCCCGGUUGCCACGUGGCCCCUGGGGGGCGAAACCCCUCCCCUGGCUGAGAAGCUGGGCUCGGCAGCUUGCUCUGUGCAGGGCCCCGGUGCACACACUUCAGGGAAGCCGCCUCCUCCUGCAGCCCCUCCCAGCUGGAGACGGUUCCACUGUGCAGAGGUGAGAUUAGCGGUUUGGCCAAGGUCGGGGCGCGGACGCUCCAGGAGCGCUGUGAUCUGAACCUGUGACAAGUCCCAGGCCCCUCUCUUCCGAGCCAAUUUUUGCGGGUUCCUUGGGCGUUUCCCCGGUCCCAAUCGUGUUGUCUGGGACUGGAUGUCGUCUCAUUGCUGCUUUUCCCAUCUGGCUGCCUUGGCACGUUCGAGAACAGACUUGCGGGGCACGAAUACUGGCUCGAGCAGAUUCUGUGACGUGCGCAGCGUUGUUUCUUUUAGGAAGUUAAAUUUGCUCAAUUAUCCACGGCCUGGAAAAUGCAGAAUACAAAGAAAAAAAUAAAAUGUCCCACCGGACUUCCCACAGAGGCCCACCUUUUAGCAGCUUCUUCCUCUGAGUAGCUCCCUCUGUUUUGAAGUUUUGUCACAAAGUUGCAGUCUCCCAAUAUAUACAACUGUGCGAGUCCUGCAUUCCCCAAACUACGAAGCUGGGGGUUUUUUCCUGUUGUUACAAAAUCCUCUUGGACGUUAUUUGUAAUUGUUGCCGAUUGUGGCAGAGACCCCAGUUUCUCCUCCAUUGCCCUGACCUCUCCCUCUUCUUUCAUAAUAGAAAUCUCAAGUUUUAGCUGGGCACGUGGCCACCCAGAAGAAAAAAAAAAAAAAAACUACGUUUCCCAGCUGUGUCCAUGUGACUCAGUUCUGGCCAAUGAGACAUAAGUAACCUCUAAGUAGUGUCCUCAGGGCGAGGGUGCCUGCUCUUCUUCCUAUCCUCCUUGCUGCCUGGAAUGCAGAUGUGAUGGCCAGCAUCUGAGUGGCCAUCUUGGGCCAUGGUGGCACAACAAGAGAAAAGACAUGCGAAUCCCUGAUGAAUUUAUGACGACACCCUACCAGCCCUGGACUGCCGCCUCCACACUUCUUUUAUAUAAGGGAGAAACAAACUUCUGUUUCAUCUAAGCCCCUGGCAUCUUGGGCUUUUAGCCGCUCAAAGAGGAACCUAAUCCUGAGUAUUGCACUAAGAUUUUGCUGGAGGAGUUGUCUCUAAUUCUUUUAGGAAUUACCACCUAAUUAGCUCAACCGUUCCCUGGUCAUUGAGCAUUUAGGUAGUUUCUGACUUCCUGCUACUCAUAGCCGUUAUCCCAGGUGGGCCCCCGAGUCAGGACGGCAGGCUACACAGCCAGGUACAAGCUGCCCAGGGAGCCUGCUUUGUUGCUGAGGACCCUCCCACUGCGUCUGCUAGGUGCAUGGUGCGUUCUCCUCCACACCUCCCCUCCUGUCCUUCUCUUCUGUUUUUAAUGUUCAUUUAUUUAUUUAUGAGAGAAAGAGAGGGAGAGUAUGAGCGGGGGAGGGGCAGAGGAAGACAGGGGGACAGAGGAUCCAAAGCAGGCUCUGCACCGACAGCAGAGAGCCUGACACGGGGCUCGAACUCGGGAACCGUGACAUCGUGACCUGAGCUGAAGUCAGACGCUUAACUACCUGAGCCACCGAGGCGCCCCCCGCCCAUCUCUUCUAACCGCACAUCUCAAGGAGGCCUGUCUCCCUGGUGAAGCCCAAACCCCACGCCUGCCCCAAGUUGCAAGGGAGGCUGGGAAAGUGAGUUUUCUGGCAUCUCCCUCCGGGAGUGUGGCCACUAGGGAAGGAGUUUCCCUGAAGCGGGUCCGCAAGGUGAGGCGUGGCCAGAAAGCAGGGCGAAGCUGAGCUCACUAGGCAAAGACCCGCCAGGCUGGGGAGGAGUACGGAAAGCCUUCUGCCAUCACUUUUGAUUUGUCCUCCUCUUAUCCCGAAAGGACAGCAGGCAGAACUAAAGGGGACCACUGGUGUCACCCUGGCAGUUUACCCAGCUCUGCAAGGGAUGCGUCAGAGCCGGGGGCCCACGUCUAUGAGAACGCAAGCCUGGUUCUCGCCCCUCGGCCCGUUACCCACAAGUCCACCUGGAUGUCAUUACCUGAUGCCUACUGUGUGCCAGCACUCUGCUGGGUGUGGGGGACCCAGGCAUGGCCGUCCCUGUCUCCUGGAACUCACGACACAGGGGGGGAAGGCAGAGGGUCAUCAGAUCAGCACACAAAUACAUCAUCACCAACGUGGGUCAGCGCUAAGAAGAAAAGAUGCCUGGUGCCCAGACGUCAAGGAAUAGAAGAAGCCUGCGAGGGUAGACUCCAGAAUGUCGAAGGGGUCGUAAGAUUUCAGCAGCGUCGAGGGACAUUUGAAAUUGGCAACGCAUGGAUUCACGGAGCAAGUCUUUUCUGAGCACCUACCGUGUACCAGACCCCGUCCUUGGUGCCGAGGUCCAGCAGAGGAGCACGAGCCCCUCCUGGGUCGUCAGGAGCUAACACUCUAGUGGGGGAAAGUGGACCAUAAACAAGAAAGAAGACCAGGGUCAUUUCAGACGGUGGCAAAUGUGGCUGUGAGGAGGGGGAAGGGCUGUUACAGAGAGGUGUCUGAGAGGGGCUUUCUGAGGAGGUGAAGCCUGAAGGGUGACAAGGAACCAGCCUUGGGAAGAGGCAGAGUGAAAGGUUCUAGGUAGAGGCAACAGUGUGUGCAAAGGCCCUGAGGCAGGCGUUUGCAUGGACUGUUGAGGCACAGCAGGGAGGCCUGUGGCUGGAGCCAGGUGAGGGUGCAAGAGAGGAAAAGGAGACGAGGUAGAAGAUGUGUCAGGGCUUUGCAUGUACUUGGGGGGCGGGGGGGGGGGUUCAAGGGGGUAUUUUGAGCAGAAGGGACACAGGUUAGAUUCUAACAGGAUCCCUUUAGAGGCAGUGGUCAGCUGAAUGAUGUCCCCCAAAGCUGCCCACAUCUUAAUCCCCCAAACCUGUGAAUGUUAACUUUCUUAGGCAAAAAGGAAUUUCACAGCUGUGACUUAGUUACGGAGCUUGAAGUGGGAGAUUGCCCUGGAUUAUCUGAGUGUGCUCAGUAGAAUCAGAGGAGUCCUUGUAAAAUGGAAGCUG